rnacentral:rRNA from 1 species
UUGAACGCUGGCGGCAUGCCUUACACAUGCAAGUCGAACGGUAAAGCUCGGGGCAACCUGGUGCGAGAGUGGCGAACGGGUGAGUAAUACAUCGGAACGUGCCUAUGUAUGGGGGAUAACUACGUCGAAAGCUGUAGCUAAUACCGCAUGACGCCCUGAGGGAAGGAAAGCGGGGGCUCGCAAGACCUCGCGCGUAUUACGAGCGGCCGAUGUCCGAUAGCUAGUUGGUGGGGUAAAGGCCUACCAAGGCGACGAUCCGGUAGCUGGUCUGAGAGGAUGAUCAGCCACACUGGGACUGAGACACGGCCCAGACUCCUACGGGAGGCAGCAGUGGGGAAUUUGGACAAUGGGCGGCAACCAUGAUCCAGCAAGCCGCGUGAGUGAAGAAGGCCUUCGGGUUGUAAAGCUCUUUCGGUGCGGAACGAAACGGUCUGUGUUAAUACCACGGACUACUGACGGUACCUCACAGAAGAAGCACCGGCUAACUACGUGCAGCAGCCGCGGUAAUACGUAGGGUGCGAGCGUUAAUCGGAAUUACUGGGCGUAAAGCGUGCGCAGGCGGGCGUUGUAAGACAGGUCGUUGAAAGCCCCGAGCUUAACCUUGGGAACUGCGCUUGUGACUGCAGGCUGAGAGUAGUGGCAGAGGGAGGUGGAAUUCCACUGUGUAGCAGUGAAAUGCGUAGAGAUCGGGAGGAACACCGAUGGCGAAGGCAGCCUCCUGGGCCAACUACUGACGCUCAUGCACGAAAGCGUGGGGAGCAAACAGGAUUAGAUACCCUGGUAGUCCACGCCCUAAACGAUGUCGACUAGGUGUUGUGGGAGUUAAACCCAUUAGUACCGCAGCUAACGCGUGAAGUCGACCGCCUGGGGAGUACGGCGCAAGGUUAAACUCAAAGGAAUUGACGGGGACCCGCACAAGCGGUGGAUGAUGUUGGAUUAAUUCGAUGCAACGCGAAGAACCUUACCUACCCUUGACAUGCAGGGAACCCUUGUGAGAGGCGGGGGUGCCGAAAGGGAACCGGACACAGGUGCUGCAUGGCUGUCCGUCAGCUCGUGUCGUGAGAUGUUGGGUUAAGUCCCGCAACGAGCGCAAACCCUUGUCACUAGUUGCCAUUACGGUAACGGGCACUCUAGUGAGACUGCCGGUGACAAACCGGAGGAAGGUGGGGAUGACGUCAAGUCCUCAUGGCCCUUAUGGGUAGGGCUUCACACGUCAUACAAUGGCGCAUACAGAGGGCUUGCCAACCCGCGAGGGGGAGCCAAUCCCAGAAAGCCUGCGUCGUAGUCGGAUUGCAGUCUGCAACUCGACUGCAUGAAGUCGGAAUCGCUAGUAAUCGCGGAUCAGCAAUGCGCGGUGAAUACGUUCCCGGGUCUUGUACACACCGCCCGUCACACCAUGGGAGUGGGUUUCACCAGAAGCCGGUAGCUAACCGCAGGAGGGCGCUGACCACGGUGAGAUUCAUGACUGGGGUG